rnacentral:rRNA from 1 species
GUGGGGAAUAUUGGACAAUGGGCGCAAGCCUGAUCCAGCCAUGCCGCGUGAGUGAUGAAGGUCUUAGGAUUGUAAAGCUCUUUCACCGGUGAAGAUAAUGACGGUAACCGGAGAAGAAGCCCCGGCUAACUUCGUGCCAGCAGCCGCGGUAAUACGAAGGGGGCUAGCGUUGUUCGGAAUUACUGGGCGUAAAGCGCACGUAGGCGGAUAUUUAAGUCAGGGGUGAAAUCCCAGAGCUCAACUCUGGAACUGCCUUUGAUACUGGGUAUCUUGAGUAUGGAAGAGGUGAGUGGAAUUCCGAGUGUAGAGGUGAAAUUCGUAGAUAUUCGGAGGAACACCAGUGGCGAAGGCGGCUCACUGGUCCAUUACUGACGCUGAGGUGCGAAAGCGUGGGGAGCAAACAGGAUUAGAAACCCGAGUAGUCC